UACGUAGGGUGCGAGCGUUAAUCGGAAUUACUGGGCGUAAAGCGUGCGCAGGCGGUUCUCCAAGUCCGUUGUGAAAGCCCCGGGCUCAACCUGGGAAUGGCAGUGGAAACUAGGGGACUUGAAUCUGGCAGAGGGGGGUGGAAUUCCACGGUGUAGCAGUGAAAUGCGUAGAGAUGUGGAGGAACACCGAUGGCGAAGGCAGCCCCCUGGGCUGAGCAUUGGACGCGUCGAGGCACGAAAGCAUGGGGAGGCGAAC
rnacentral:rRNA from 1 species